GGGUAAGGGGCUAGGGAAUGCAUUAUCAAUAAGAAAAAAUGUAAAAUGUAGCCUACAACAUUCUCAGCACAAAAACACCAGGUCACCAGUCCAAGACGCCACCAUGCGGCAGACGUCAGCUAUAACGUUAAUGUUGGAGAGUAGGCCUACUGGUUUCAAUGGGAGGCAUUAUGUAAUCCCACAACGAGACAUCAUUUGGAGUUGGUUUUGCCCUGGAUGCCCACGUGUUCAGCUGGAUUGACAUCUGAGUGUGAAGGCCAUUGCAUAUGGUAGCCUACACAAUAUUACAUAAUAGAGACGUUUUAUCAGGAUUGUCCACGGAUGAGACUGGCUGGGGUUCUUAUGUCGGCCUUCUUCAGGCCCCGGGGCUAAAAUACCAUGCCGCACCAUCUGGGAUGUUGCAGGGAUUGGACACUUCUUUGAACCUGCUUUCAAAGACAGCGGUCCCCACCACCGCGUAUCUCAGGUCGUUGUUGUGAAUCUGUAUAGGCAGAAACAAACUAUAAAUGCAAACAUUUAUCUUCUGCAGCCUGCAGCCCUCUGUCAAUGUUGAGCCCUGGAUUCAAACUAGCGAGCAGGAAAUGUGCAAUGCGAAUUCAUUAACAAAAUGUUAGUAUUUAUAGACUCUUCUGUGUUUGAAAAAUCUUCCACAUAAUCAAAUUUCAUUCCUUUUGGAUUUACUGUGAAUACAUCCAUUGCUGUGCCUUUUAAAGUUUAUUCUUUGUUUGGAAUUGGUUCAUUCUGGUUUGGUCUGGCUCUUGUUUUGCAGUUCUGUGGAUGUACAGCACCACCUGAUGGACUCAGAGCUCCAGAACAGUACAUGAAAAUGAGGAAUGACAACCCUAACACUGAACCAUUAGGAGACUGGAAUUUUCUUACCACUGGAAGGGGUGAGAAAAGUCUACCUGCUCUUUACAAAGACAACACUAAAAAGGAUGACUGGAUGGGGAACAAGCUCCUGCUACAUCUCUGCGGCCGGGACCAUUCGUUUUGACUGUUUAAAAACAUGAAUCAGAAUCAGAAUCAGUUUUAUUGCCAGGAAAGCUCUCCCAUGUGAGUGUGCCUGACUUCACCUGCAGAUGAAUCACAGACUUCCUGUUUGACAGAAGGCAGCAACCUGAAGCUGGGACCAUCAGCACCGGUUCCCUUCAAGGCUGUGUUCUUUCCCCUCUGCUUUUACAUGAACAGCUGCACCUCCAGUCACCAGUCUGUCAAGGUCCUGAAACUUUGUGGGAUUAUUUUGCAAGGAUUUAAUGAAAAACACUAACAUGAUAGUCUUUAUAUGUCACAAAAUCAGACAUACACUAGCUGCUCCUUUCAAGUUCACUUUCUUUGGGUUUCCCACUACCACAUGUUAAGCAGAAAGUGCAGCAUUCUUUAGCUUCAGUCUCAUAAUUAAUCAAAGAUACAAAUGACGAAUGAAGAUUGAAAAAUGCAAGUCAACAGGAAUGCAGGGUAUUUCAGAGAUUCACUAGAUAUUCCAGCAGAGGGCAGCAGCUACCAACAUAGGACUUCAUCUGCCAGCACAAGGGGCCAUGGUUUCUAUUUUAAACCACUGAGCUACUAAAGUACUUUAACCUGUAGAUUGUUCUUUAUUGGAGUCAACAUGUAUUCAGCGGGGAAACAUUAAAACCAAAUAACUUCAUACAAUGCCAAUGCCUUUACAGCGUAACUGUGUGAUAUUAAAGGCAAAAUUCACCAUUCACUUGGAUGAAAAUGAUUACGUAUCAGAUCUUGUAUGAUGUAAAGCUAACUGGUUUCGAAAAUAUAAUUGAAGGCCUCUACAGAGGAAACUGGAGUGACAGGGCAGCGUACAGUGGUGCUAUUUUUAGCAGAGAUAUCAAUAUAAUGUUUUGAAUCGAGGUUUUUUUUAAGUCAGAGACACAAAUGAAGGAUGUUUCUGACCAUGUGACUCCUCCAGUGGGGCUAACUGUCUAUUCUCAGAAAAGGAUUUUGAGUAAAGUGCACGACAAACUUUCUCUACAGCACAGAGGUUUAUGAAAAACCCUUCACAAAGCUUAUGCCUUUACCCCACUCAACCUUUUAACAAUUAGGCCCUAACCCCUGCGGUCCCCCCGUCAUUUAUCAUGAUGUCCUCUACAAACCACAGGACAACACUCUACCUUAAAAAUUAAUAAGGCUGACAAUAUACUUGUCGCUAUUUCAAUGCCCAGCAUGUCCUCUGUGACUCAUCGGUUCAGCUGUAAAUCAGGCCAGGAGGAGCCUCGAGGGAUUGUGUUCCUCUAAAGCUCCUUCAAAACACUUUAUAUGGAGCAUCAAUAACCAAACACUUUGCAAUAACACUUAUUGGCACGGCAGCAUGAAAUACUAUUGAUUGUUCAAAUGAAAAUCAGCAUGAGCACUAUAGCUACUGCUGGGAUUGUUGCUUUUGCGUGAUUUCUGUCUAUAUUCUGUCGUCGGUAUCAGCGAGGAUGAAGGCAGAGCAGCGUGAGGCAUCAUGGGUUAUAUUUAAUCCAGCCUUGCUCUUCUUUGGGAUAAUAACUUUUUUGCUCCAUUCCAGGACUUGUCUGUCAUCUUGACAUGGCAAUAUCUCCCAACUCCACUGUUUCAUAGUCAGUUUCAUUUACUUCCAAAUACCAUUUCACACCCUGCUGGUUUUAACUAGGUAUUAUACAGCGUGUGGGGAGUGUGCUGCAGAUUGAAUCGUGACAGAGACAACAACGUUUCUGGUGAAAAAUAAGUGAAUAGUGUAAGUGGCAGACUGUAUAAAAUGAUUUUUGCUCCAUUUUCUUGGCAUGAAUUUGUGUGUUUUUCAUCCUGAUCUCUCAAAUUUAUAUGGGAUGUCUACAGCUGAUAAAAUUUGCUGCCUUAUUUUUGGACUUUUUUAAAUUAACAGAGAACAGUGAACACAAAAUGCAUGCUCCUGUGAACUACAGUUUUAAAUGAAAAUGAUAGUAUAAUGGUUUAUUUAAUAGCUGACAUACUGUUAGUUUUAUUUUAGUUUUUGACGAAGGCCUAUAUUCUUAUUAACAUACAUACAGUUUCUGCAGUUGAGUUUCCAGUCAAUGAAUAAUCUAAUGUCCACUUGACUACUUAAUUUAAUACAACUGCGGCUUAAAGUCAGACAAAAUCAUGA